rnacentral:rRNA from 1 species
GACGAACGCUGGCGGCGUGCUUAACACAUGCCAGUCGAACGGAAAGGCCCUGCUUUUGUGGGGUGCUCGAGUGGCGAACGGGUGAGUAACACGUGAGUAACCUGCCCUUGACUUUGGGAUAACUUCAGGAAACUGGGGCUAAUACCGGUUAGGAGCUCCUGCUGCAUGGUGGGGGUUGGAAAGUUUCGGCGGUUGGGGAUGGACUCGCGGCUUAUCAGCUUGUUGGUGGGGUAGUGGCUUACCAAGGCUUUGACGGGUAGCCGGCCUGGGCGGGUGACCGGCCACGUUGGGAUGGGAAUGCGGCCCGGACUCCUACGGGAGGGAGCAGUGGGGAAUAUUGCACAAUGGGCGGAAGCCUAAUGCAGCAACGCCGCGUGCGGGAUGAGAGCCUUCGGGUUGUAUUCCGCUUUCGCCUGUGACGAAGCGUGAGUGACGGUAAUGGGUAAAGAAGCACCGGCUAACUACGUG